rnacentral:rRNA from 1 species
UACGUAGGGUGCAAGCGUUAAUCGGAAUUACUGGGCGUAAAGCGUGCGCAGGCGGUCUUGCAAGACAGAUGUGAAAUCCCCGGGCUUAACCUGGGAACUGCAUUUGUGACUGCAUAGCUAGAGUACGGUAGAGGGGGAUGGAAUUCCGCGUGUAGCAGUGAAAUGCGUAGAUAUGCGGAGGAACACCGAUGGCGAAGGCAAUCCCCUGGACCUGUACUGACGCUCAUGCACGUAAGCGUGGGGAGCAAACAGG